GCCCUCGUAGCUCAGUGGAUAGAGCAUUGGUUUCCUAAACCAUGUGCGGAAGUUCGAUUCUUCUCGGGGGCACCA
rnacentral:tRNA from 2 species